UUUAUUCAUUGUUUGGGUUGAGAUGGAGGAAUGUGGAGGACGCCACUGUUCUGAUUGGCUCUUGCGGUUUUGGCUUGGGUAGGGUUUAGCACGCAGGGAAAAUGGAAACAAACUCACGUGCUGCAAUUCGCUGGCGCUUGGUAGAUGUGUGCGGCUGUAGCGUACGGGAAUUUUUCUCUGGUGGUUAAAGUUGGGAAAGUCGGCUCGUUGGGGGGGUUGCUGUUGUGUAGUGAGCAGGCCUGGUGUUGUGUAGUGAGCAGGCCUGGUGUUGUGGCGUGUCCUGAGGGAAACCUGUAACAAACGAGGAAAAGUUGUGGGAAACCCUAGAAACAGUAUUUCUGUCGGUUCCUAAAACAAACGCUGUGAAGGCAGAUGUUGUUGUCAGGGAGUUUUAGGCGCUGUACCACAAAACCGGAAGUGGCUGCGUUCUAUUGCUAUGGGGGGGGGGGAUUCUCUAGGUAAAGGAGAGAUAUUGUGCAUUCUCUCUAAGGGGUAUCACCCCGCCCUCUAUUUUGUUUGGUUACUUCCGCUAUCAGUUGUUUUUAUAAAUACCUUUCAGCGUUAGGUGUUUCUUCUUUAAUCCAGUGCCAGACUGUGGUGAUUUACAGCAAUUAAUGUUUGCCUUCAUGUUCUAAACCACUUGGAGAUUGACUAAAGCUUAAUGGUUGCUAUGGAAGCCCACACCGGUUAGCAAUUCAGGCCUUGACCUCGCAGUUCAGAAAGAUUCAAGAUUGACUUUUUGUGCUUCAUUAUGAAAGUGGAACCGUCAUUAACAAGAAAUCUUUCCCCAGCUGUUCUGGGUAACACUUCUUUGACUGUCAGGUGCCUUUUGUGUUUUACGUAAAUGGAGAUGAUACAGGGUACAUUCUGCAGGGAUCCCAGUCCAGAUACUUUGCCCAGGGGUUAAAGAGCUGCUACAGAGACUGUGAAAGACAAUGAGACCUUACCUCCCACAGUGACUCUUCCCAUCAGAGCCUCUUAUGCUAUCUGUAUGGGGGAGGAGAUGCCACAGUAGAAUCAGAGCAACCACCUCAUGAGAAAGGGGAGAAGAACAGAAGGCCAAAGAUGAAAGAAAGUAAAUCCGUGAGAAUUGGGCUCUUUUGCAACGACUCCGGGCAUGGCCCUGCAACUAGGUCUUUGCCCAGAAAAAUAAGAGCAUCCUGCUCAGAGCUGCAGAUUUUCCGGUCAUGUGAUCUCUGAGGGGGACACACAGACCAUCCUAAAUGUUGAUUCAAGAGACAUGGAUGUGUGCUUUGGAUUCGUAAUACACCCAGUCAAAGCCAGCUUCCACUGCCAGACGGGCCAACAUGCCAUAUUUGUUCCUGUCUCGGUCAGAUGUUGUAAUGUCCAACGCUCGCCCUUCAUAAUGCAAAGAGUCGUGAGCGUGGUGGCCGUCCUCAUCCCAGCCCUCGGUCACCCGCAGCUUCAAGCCUGGCCACAUGUUCAUCACAGAGAUAGCCAAGGCAUUGACUCUGUCUUUGCAGCGCUGAAACAAGAAGACAGUCAUUGUGAUGCGGAUGCUGACCCUCUGCCCCCAAUGGCAAGGCCCAUAAAAACAGAAAAGCAAAUCUCAGGAUUCAGAAACUGAGGAGACAUUCACUAUGAAGGAAAAAGGGACAUGUGAGAUAACAAAUGGAACCAGAAAACUAAUCCCGACAAUAACAAUUGUUCAGCGCUGUACUGAAUUAAAGUUUUAUCAUGUAAAAGUGCACCUUUAAGAAUGUUGAUGUAGGAAAAAGAUCUACAUGUAGAAUGGUCCUUGGACUUGUUGCCAAGCUCAAACAAUAACCAUUUUCCAUCCUCCAAAUGACUUAACAUGGUGAGAAUUUGCCAGCACAGAGUUCAGAAGCAACAUAGCAGCAAACUCUCUAGCCUGCCCACAAUGGAGCUUUUCAGAGACGUCACUGCUGUUAGGAAUGGGCGCAAACAAGAAAAGGGCAACGUGGGACUGGAGAGAUUUCUGUGCCCUAUGUGCAUCCUCUCCCGUUACUCCCCAACAGGCACAAAUGAUUCCUUGUGGGAUAAUCUCUGUCACUAACCUGAACUUCCUCACCCUGGGAAAAUGCAUCAUCAUCGUUAAUACCCACAACACUACAUUCUACUCAGCAACUCAGAGCAUACUGUAUCUACAUGUAACUUUGCAGUGUCUGGAUUGCACCAGAGUAUCUGACAAGAAAACAGGCCUGGGAUUCAAAAUAAGCCCAGGUUUUUUAUGUACACAGAGUUUCAGACAGCCCCCACCUGCCCACUAAAUAGUGACUGUCUAUGGCAUCUUAAAGCAGCCCCUCUGGUAUUUGCCAGAAUCCACCGAUUGCCAGUCCUGAAAGCACAUGAUAUGUUGCCAGCGCUGCACUGCCCAUUUCAUCAUAGCAAAUAAAGAGUUAUAAUAAGCAGCACUCUCUUUUUGGCCUAAAACGACCUUUAUUUUGCAAACAGAUAAUUUUGCAGGAACAAUUCAAACCCAAUGUACCAUUAUGUCAAAACCAAACCCUAGAUCCAUAACUCGUAUGCAAGCACCAACAAUGUUGCAAAAAGUAAAGGGACGAACAACUUCAUAUUGAUACCCUUGAUUUGGGAAUAAGAAAUUAAAAAGGCUUUUUGUAAUAUAGUCUCUUCAUACACAGGGUAUUUUUCAUCAGGGUGGCAUAUACAGUGAAUGCCUAUAUUAACUCUUAUGUCAUUUAUUGACAAGGGUUGCUACCUUUUUGCCUUUCCACCACUGUUAACCUCUCAGGUUGCAGUAGAAACAGCAGAGACGCAGUGACUGUGGAAGCUUCACUUUGUAGCUCCCAAAAAGAAAAGCACAAGGAAGACACCCUGCCCUGAAGAGCUCAUAAUCUUAUUAUAUCUGAGGAUCAAACAAAUCCUUUCCUAUAACUAAAAGUUUCUGUUGUGUUGUCUUUUCCUGUUUGUUUUCCCAAGCUGCGCUAUUAUGGCUCUGAACUUCUUCCUGAUCUAUUUGGCUGUUAAGGCCAUUUUAGUGGCUACUGUUUAAAGUCUGUACAGAGAAUAGAAUUCUAAAGGUGAGAUCUCACCUGUCACCUAUAAAAUGGCAAUAUAACCUGCCUCUUUCUGCUGGUAAUACAACUUCCUAUACAACAUGGUGUUAUGUUUGCUUUUCCCAUGGGUUUACAACACUGCUUGCUUGCUUUCAAUUCAGCCACAAUUGUGACUCCUACUUCUGCUCUGCUAUUGUUGACUGAAAAUUACCAUUCAAUCUGUAUUCUUCAUGUGGAUUCCAGUGCCAAUAUGCAUCACUUUGCACUUAUUAUUGGCAUAAAUUCAGGUAUCUGUACUAUCUAGUCCAUUCCUACUCUUAGUACUUCAUUGAUGCUGGGCUUUACAGUAAUCUCAGUGGUUGCAGGAAAAGUCCUGCCCGAGCCAUAUAAUAGCAAGCAAUUGUUAGUCAGUUAGUGGUAUGCACAGACUAACCUUCAUCUGAAAUUAAACAAUUAUCUUCAGUCCUCUACUUUUGAGCAGUUUUCUGUCAAAAGUCUGCAUUCAUAGUCCAGUAUUUAGUCAGGGCCCUAUUAUCUUGAAACAAGGUUACAAAUAUGCAAUAUUAAUAAUAUUGAUAUUAUUUUGACAGGCCCCACACUUUAGGAAUCCAUGUUGGGCCUCCUAAGUGAGCCAACCAGUUGAGUAACCUAUGUUUUCUGGAUAAUGUACCUUAAUUACAUUAUGGUUCUGCACUGCUGCAAGGGGGAAAAACCCUAUAGGGGAUGUAAAAAAAAAUCUAAGGGUGCCUAAAUGUUUUUUGCUGCCCUAUUCAUUACUGAAGCUAAUGCACAAUAACUCAUAAUACUAACAAAAAUUCCUAAAAACACUGUUCCAGUUGAUCAGUAAACGCCCAGAUUAGUUAGACAUGACUUUAUAGCAAGAAAUCCAUCCUGCUCUCAAUCCUUUACAGGUUUGGAAUCUAUUAUCUAGAAAGUGGUUAUCCAAAAACAAGACUCUGAUUAGUUCUUUCUCUGUACUAAGGGUAGGGCCACAUGAUGUGGUUCUCAGCCUAGGAUCCGCUCCUCCAUUGCUCCUCUGUUAAUUGUUGUGCUUGCACCAGGGAACAUUACCACUAGGGUGUAGGUGACAAAAUGCUAGAUUUAGCAUUUUGCACCAAAAUCUUCACCCAAGCAGAGGUAAAGUUUAUGGGUGCAGGCACAAUGAUCAACAGAGGGACAGUUUCUAAGCUUGCAUUUCUCCUCCAUGUUUUUUUGCACUUGGCACCCGCCCCAUAUGCAGAUGAAUGAUUUCUGCUACAUUGUUUUAAUUAGUACCAUUGCAAAAAUUGUACAGUAUUUAAAGGGGAACUCCGAAAGAGGCCCACAUAACACAGAACCCC